rnacentral:rRNA from 1 species
GAUGAACGCUAGCGGCAGGCUUAAUACAUGCAAGUCGAGGGACAGCACAGGUAGCAAUACUGGGUGGUAACCGGCAAACGGGUGCGGAACACGUACGCAACCUUCCUUUAAGUGGGGGAUAGCCCAGAGAAAUUUGGAUUAAUACCCCGUAAUAUAGUUGAAUGGCAUCACUUGAUUAUUAUAGCUACGGCGCUUAAUGGUGGGUGUGCGGCUGAUUAGAUAGUUGGCGGGGUAACGGCCCACCAAGUCUACGAUCAGUAGCUGAUGUGAGAGCAUGAUCAGCCACACGGGCACUGAGACACGGGCCCGACUCCUACGGGAGGCAGCAGUAAGGAAUAUUGGUCAAUGGACGCAAGUCUGAACCAGCCAUGCCGCGUGAAGGAUUAAGGUCCUCUGGAUUGUAAACUUCUUUUAUUUGGGACGAAAAAGGGCCUUUCUAGGUCAACUGACGGUACCAGAUGAAUAAGCACCGGCUAACUCCGUGCCAGCCGCCGCGGUAAGAC